CAAUGGAGCAGAAAAUCUUGGAGGAAACAUUAAUAUCAAUCUAAUGACAUUCCAUAGGAAAAAAAAUCCAAUGGGAUCCAGUUCUUAGCAGUCCCAGCCUAGUCAGAAGUACAAAGUCAAAUACCAUUUGCACAUCACCAAGAGGUACAAUCUGAUGAGUAACAGGAUAUCUGAUCUAAAAGCUUGCAAGGUUUCACAUGCUGUUUGAGUAUCACCAGGGCAGAUCAAGAAGAAAUAUGAAGGCCAGGUUCAUAACAAGCAGUAACUUCAUUGCAAUUACAGAUUUAAAUUAAAAAAAUGAAUGAAUUUAGAUAAAUGUGUCAAUACAUAUUGAAUGUUGCUUAAACUA
rnacentral:lncRNA from 1 species